rnacentral:rRNA from 1 species
UACGUAGGGGGCAAGCGUUGUCCGGAUUUAUUGGGCGUAAAGAGCUCGUAGGUGGUUUGGUAAGUCGGAUGUGAAAUCUCCAGGCUCAACCUGGAGGGGUCAUUCGAUACUGCCAUGACUAGAGGUCGGUAGGGGAGUGUGGAAUUCCUGGUGGAGCGGUGAAAUGCGCAGAUAUCAGGAAGAACACCCGUGGCUAAGGCGGUUCUCUAGUACGGUACUGACGCUGAGACGCGAAAGCGUGGGGAGCGAACAGG